rnacentral:rRNA from 1 species
CCUACGGGAGGCAGCAGUGAGGAAUAUUGGUCAAUGGGCGUAAGCCUGAACCAGCCAAGUCGCGUGAGGGAUGAAGGUCCUAUGGAUCGUAAACUUCUUUUAUAAGGGAAUAAAGUGAGGGACGUGUCCUAUUUUGUAUGUACCUUAUGAAUAAGGAUCGGCUAACUCCGUGCCAGCAGCCGCGGUAAUACGGAGGAUCCGAGCGUUAUCCGGAUUUAUUGGGUUUAAAGUGAGCGUAGGCGGCAUGUUAAGUCAGUGGUGAAAGUCUGUGGCUCAACCAUAGAAUUGCAAUUGAAACUGGCGGACUUGAGUAUGUUUGAGGAAAGCGGAAUUCGAGGUGUAGCGGUGAAAUGCUUAGAUAUCACGCAGAACCCCGAUGGCGAAGGCAGCCUGCCAAGCCAUGACUGACGCUGAUGCGCGAAAGCGUGGGGAUCAAACAGGAUUAGAUACCCUUGUAGUC